GACGAACGCUGGCGGCGUGCCUAAUACAUGCAAGUCGAGCGCAGGAAACUGACGGAACUCUUCGGAGGGAAGGCAGUGGAAUGAGCGGCGGACGGGUGAGUAACACGUAAGGAACCUGCCUCAAGGAUUGGGAUAACUCCGAGAAAUCGGAGCUAAUACCGGAUAGUUCAACGGACCGCAUGGUCCGCUGAUGAAAGGCGCUUCGGCGUCACCUUGAGAUGGCCUUGCGGUGCAUUAGCUAGUUGGUGGGGUAACGGCCCACCAAGGCGACGGUGCACAGCCGACCUCAGAGGGUGAUCGGCCACACUGGGACUGAGACACGGCCCAGACUCCUACGGGAGGCAGCAGUAGGGAAUCUUCCACAAUGGACGAAAGUCUGAUUGAGCAACGCCGCGUGAGUGAUGAAGGUUUUCGGAUCGUAAAACUCUGUUGUAAGGGAAGAACACGUACGAGAGGAAAUGCUCGUACCUUGACGGUACCUUACGAGAAAGCCACGGCUAACUACGUGCCAGCCGCCGCCGUAA
rnacentral:rRNA from 1 species